rnacentral:rRNA from 1 species
GACGGGCCCGCACAAGCAGCGGAGCGUGUGGUUAAUUCGAUGUUACACGAAGAACCUUACCAGGGUUGACAUGCAAGUGGUAGGAAGCCGAAAGGUGACCGACCCUUCGGGGAGCUUGCACAGGUGCUGCAUGGCUGUCGUCAGCUCGUGUCGUGAGAUGUUCGGUUAAGUCCGCUAACGAGCGCAACCCUCGCUGUGUGUUAUAUGUGUCACACGGGACUGCCGGUCUUAAGCCGGAGGAAGGUGGGGAUGACGUCAAGUCAGCAUGGCCUUUAUGUCCUGGGCUACACACACGCUACAAUGGCCAACACAAUAGGUUGCUAAGCCGCGAGGUGGAGCCAAUCCUCAAAGUUGGUCUCAGUUCAGAUUGCAGGCUGCAACCCGCCUGCAUGAAGAUGGAGUUGCUAGUAACCGCAGGUCAGCUAUACUGCGGUGAAUACGUUCCCGGGGCUU